AGGUAUAGGAUAUGGUUUUUGAAUUGUGAAAUUUAGAAUUCUAAUAAAUAUAUAAAUAAAUAUUUUCUCUUUGGCUCUUUCUGGUGCAUCGACUCUUUUCAAGAAUGUUUUGGUUGGUUUUCUCAAACUUUCUUUCCUCUUCCCACUUGUUUCUGAUAGAAUUUGAUAAAGUAUAAUUAGAAAAUAUAAAUUUUUUUUUUUAUUUAAAUAAUCAUUUAUUAUAUACUCCUUCUGUUUUUAAAAGAUGAAUAUUCUAAACUUUUCACAUAUAUUAAGAAAACUCAUUAAAUAUGCAUUGUUUUUUGUGAAUAACAAUUUUUCAUAACUUUUAGCCAAUAGAAAUUCAAUAAACACCAUUAAUUUUUUUGAAACUUAUAAUUUUUCAUAAAAUUAUACAUUGAAAAUGUAAAAAAUGUAUCUUUUUGAAACAAUUUUUUUUUCAGAACAUACAUCUUUUAGGAACGAA
rnacentral:lncRNA from 1 species